UUGAACGCUGGCGGCAUGCCUUACACAUGCAAGUCGAACGGCAGCACGGGAGCAAUCCUGGUGGCGAGUGGCGAACGGGUGAGUAAUAUAUCGGAACGUGCCCAGUCGUGUGGGAUAACGCAGCGAAAGCUGUGCUAAUACCGCAUACGAUCUCUGGAUGAAAGCGGGGGACCGUAAGGCCUCGCGCGAUUGGAGCGGCCGAUAUCAGAUUAGCUAGUUGGUGGGGUAAAAGCCCACCAAGGCGACGAUCUGUAGCGGGGUUGAGAGGACGACCAGCCACACUGGAACUGGGACACGGUCCAGACUCCUACGGGAGGCAGCAGUGGGGAAUUUUGGAAAAUGGGCGCAAGCCUGAUCCAGCAAUGCCGCGUGCAGGAUGAAUGCCUUCGGGUUGUAAACUGCUUUUGUACGGAACGAAACGGCUCACUCUAAUACGGUGGGCUAAUGACGGUACCGUAAGAAUAAGCACCGGCUAACUACGU
rnacentral:rRNA from 1 species